rnacentral:rRNA from 1 species
UACCGAGGGUGCGAGCGUUGUCCGGAAUCACUGGGCGUAAAGGGCGCGUAGGUGGCCUGGUAAGUUGGGGGUGAAAUCUCGCGGCUCAACUGCGAGGCUGCCUCCUAAACUGUCAGGCUCGAGCAGAGUAGAGGCAGGUGGAAUUCCCGGUGUAGCGGUGAAAUGCGUAGAUAUCUGGAGGAACACCGGUGGCGAAGGCGGCGUUCUGGAAUGCAACUGACACUGAGGAACGAAAGCCAGGGGAGCAAACGGG